rnacentral:lncRNA from 1 species
GGUGCCGUGAAGGCAUAAAACUGGGAAUGUGUAGGUAGAGGCUUCCCCAGAGGGUGGGGCUGAGGGGGGAGGAAAGAGAGCGUUGGUGGGAGAGGAAGAGAAAGGAACACCUCAAAGAGGAAACAGGACUUAUCCAGAGAGCUUCUCGAAGCUGUGAAGGACAUUUUAGCAGUUCAAGGAGGAGGAGUUGAUGAAAUUUGUAUUUCUAAGAGAUCAUUUUCUCCCAAGAGUGAUGUAUGGAAGCUGGCUGGGACUGACAAGAGCCCUUGCUGUCUUCAGAAGUGAUGGAGGCACCCACAGCUGACAGGCUUAGACACUAUAUAUUCCUGGUGCCUGAGGAAGCCAGAAGAGGGUGUUGGAGUCCCUGGGACUGGAAAUACAGGUGGUUGUAAACCUUCAUGCACGACGUUGGUGAUAGCAUCUCAGAGCCAGGAAUUGCUUCCCUGUGGGCCUGGGCUGGCACAGAUCUAAAGGAGGUAUGUCUAAAUCUCCAGGUCUGGAUGAAGAUGGAAGCUACAUCAUGUUCAAGUUCCAGCAGCCGUCCCAUUCUGGCUUUGAGGAACUCCGAGAACUUGCAGCUCAUGGACAAUCGGUAGCCUUCGACUUGAAGAAACUCCCAAGCCGGGGAGCAGACAGCAAUCUCGCCCCAAGGGAGCUUCUGGUUUGAUAGUGGAGACGCUGAAAACACUAGCCUAAAGGGGACUCCUCGCUCCUCUUGCCACAUACACAGAUGGCAAUGCACAUCCACGGAGCUCCUGCCCACUGAGCAGGAAGGAUGAAGAGAGGCUCCUCUAAACACAGAAUGCCCUGAACCACCAUGGUACCACAAACCAUUCCUGGAGACAUCAUCUCAUCUCAGCCCCAGCCUUUCCCUCCCCUGGACUGACCUUGAGGCCAUCUAGGUAAAGCGAUGCCCUUAUCUCUAGGCAACCAUAUCCUGGAAGAAACCACCUGGACCACGGGACACUUUUGUGCCUCUGAGAUCGGAAGUGGAAUGAAGGAGGCCUAUUCGGAAAGCGACCUGUGGCCUGGGGAGAUGGUUUCAUGGGUAAAAUGUCCACUGGGCAAGCACAAGGAGCUGGGGUCAGAUGCCCAGCACUCGCAGGGGAUAGAGGCAGAUGAAUCUCCAGGACUUAGUGGCCAGCCUGGCCAAAGCAGGGUGCUUCAGGUUCAAUGAGAGACCUUGUUUCACAAACACGUAUUUCUGUGCUAUGUGUCAUCCUAAGAUGCCUCUAACAUCACGCCAUAAAAGUGUGCUUUCCUUGGGAAUGUGCAAAGAUCUUUACUAAUAAGAAUUGAGUUUGCUUUUGAAAAAAUAAAUGGAU